rnacentral:rRNA from 2 species
GACCCGUUACCCGGGUUGCGGACAGUGUCUGGUGGGUAGUUUGACUGGGGCGGUCUCCUCCUAAAGAGUAACGGAGGAGCACGAAGGUUGGCUAAUCCUGGUCGGACAUCAGGAGGUUAGUGCAAUGGCAUAAGCCAGCUUGACUGCGAGCGUGACGGCGCGAGCAGGUGCGAAAGCAGGUCAUAGUGAUCCGGUGGUUCUGAAUGGAAGGGCCAUCGCUCAACGGAUAAAAGGUACUCCGGGGAUAACAGGCUGAUACCGCCCAAGAGUUCAUAUCGACGGCGGUGUUUGGCACCUCGAUGUCGGCUCAUCACAUCCUGGGGCUGAAGUAGGUCCCAAGGGUAUGGCUGUUCGCCAUUUAAAGUGGUACGCGAGCUGGGUUUAGAACGUCGUGAGACAGUUCGGUCCCUAUCUGCCGUGGGCGCUGGAGAACUGAGGGGGGCUGCUCCUAGUACGAGAGGACCGGAGUGGACGCAUCACUGGUGUUCGGGUUGUCAUGCCAAUGGCACUGCCCGGUAGCUAAAUGCGGAAGAGAUAAGUGCUGAAAGCAUCUAAGCACGAAACUUGCCCCGA